AAAGUCGUAACAAGGUUUCCGUAGGUGAACCUGCGGAAGGAUCAUUAUUGAAAUAAACCUGAUAAGUUGCUGCUGGUUCUCUAGAGAGCAAUGUGCACACUUGUCAUUUUUGUAUCUUCACCUGUGCACCUUUUGUAGACCUGACUAUCUCUCUGAAUGCUUUUAUAGCACUCAGGAUUGAGAAUUGACUACUUGUCUCUUCUUAUAAUUUCAGGUCUAUGUUUCUUCAUAUACCCUAAUGUAUGUUCAUAGAAUGUAAUUAAUGGGCCUUUGUGCCUAUAAACCUUUACAACUUUCAGCAACGGAUCUCUUGGCUCUCGCAUCGAUGAAGAACGCAGCGAAAUGCGAUAAGUAAUGUGAAUUGCAGAAUUCAGUGAAUCAUCGAAUCUUUGAACGCACCUUGCGCUCCUUGGUAUUCCGAGGAGCAUGCCUGUUUGAGUGUCAUUAAUAUUAUCAACCCUUUUUGGUUGGAUGUGGGUUUGCUGGCUCUCCCAAGGUCAGCUCUCCUUAAAUGCAUUAGCGGACAACAUUUUUGCCAACUGUUCAUUGGUGUGAUAAUUAUCUACGCUAUUGACGUGAAGCAAGGUUCUGCUUCUAAUAGUCCAUUAACUUGGACAAGCCCUCUUUUAUUAAUGUGGCCUCAAAUCAGGUAGGACUACCCGCUGAACUUAAGCAUAUCAAUAAGCGGAGGAAAAGAAACUAACAAGGAUUCCCCUAGUAACUGCGAGUGAAGCGGGAAAAGCUCAAAUUUAAAAUCUGGCAGUCUUUGGCUGUCCGAGUUGUAAUCUA
rnacentral:rRNA from 1 species